UACGCGAAACAUAGAAUCUGCUUAGCGUAAUCCCGGAAAAGUACGACCUCGAAAUAUUUUUUUCAAAGGCGCCUAAUUACGCACCGCGAGCACAGGACCCUCUUCCCGUUGAUCCCUCUGUAGAAGCAUAACAUAUUAUUCCGAAUUAAAUCAGCAGACCAGGAGUCGAAGGGCCGUGUGUCUCCUCGUUCAAGAUGCGCUCGUAAAACCCGUCCAAUAACUGCACCGAAUUUUAUUUUCGAUAACGUGGGACCAAGAUACUCUACCUUGAACCCAUCAAGAAUCAUUCUGAAAGAUCCACAUUAUAACGAAGGGUUUGAAAAAAAUAAAGGCUUUGAUUAUCUUCAGAAGAAUUUGACAAAAUUCCGAAGCAUUUAUUAUAGUUUCUGAUUUAACGGACAAGUGUCAGUUCAGUCAAUCGUUUAAACUUCUUCGCAAGAAACGCAAAAGUGCAACGUAGAGAUGCGAAGAAAUGUAAGUUGCCUGAAGCUUAACGAACACGACCUAGUGACUGGUUUCUUUCUAGUAAUAAUUGCAUGAUCCGCUCUUGGGGAUGGAGAAUCAUUCGUCGAGCAAUUGUGGCACUCGGGAUCGACGAGAGCACGAUUUUCGCGUCAGAAAAAAUAAAUUCCGCCGAAGUUUGGUCGUUAAUUAAGGAGGUCCCUGUUCGCGUUUUACACCGGAACUUUAUAACGUCGGAUAUUUCUCCGCGGGCGUCAUGUACGACGAAAGUAAAGCCGACGGAAGAAGUAUUUAAUCAAGCGAUCACCUCUGCCGGGUCUAAAUAAACCAACGCUGAACGAUGGGGUCGGAGAUUACAGCGUAAGAAGGGAGGUGAUAAGACGACACGGUGGGGCCCGACGGAGGAGGGAGCCGUGAAGACAAGACGACUCUAAGAAGGGUUAAAUUACUCGGCUCCUCGUUAUAACUACAACACGUUUUACCCCUCCCCCUCCCUCUCCCCCUUAGCGCGAACCACCCACACCACCACCCAACCCUUUGCUACUUUGUCGUAAACUUUCGUGGAAUCGUCGACGAUCGUCGGUGUAGUAUCCAGCGUGACCUGCAUCUUGGGGAACCGAAUCGUUUUCAAUCAUCGUUUCGACAGCUAUACCGACGACCUCCGAUCAUCUACAAACGCCAAAAAUGUUUGAAAAAUAAAUUUGAUACAAAUAAUACGAGAUUACAGAAAAAACAUGCGAGUACUUUAACGGCAAGCAUUUCAUUUUUUAUUAAAAACUAGGAACGUUCUGUCUACUUUGGUAACUAGUUAACACUUAAUAGCACGCCAUUUCUGCUCAUAAGUUGAUUAAAUACUUGUGAACUUAGAAAA